GCCUUUCGUUUACACCGAAAAAAUAUCUAUACAACAGAUUAUUUUGA
rnacentral:tRNA from 1 species